UCUCUAUGUCGGUCUCAUAAUCCUUUUGUUGAAACCAAUUAUCUUGUACGGAAACGGUGCUUGGUUUAUUUAACUCUGCAACUACAGAGAGUAAAAGGAGCUGGAAACAUUUUAUUCACUCUUUGUUUAAUUUUCUGCAUUAAGGUAUUCAAUUGGUGGCCUUAGGUUUCUGAAGGAAAGUCACAGUUUUCCAUUUGUAAAAAUUAUUUUGGGUCUAAGAUUCCUUUUGGAGAUCUCUAAGUUUUGCAAAUUUGCUCGUAUGUCAAACCAGAAAUAAUUGAGACUUCACUCAUAGUGACUUUUUGAGCAUGUAACCUACACAAUUCACAGACCUUAUGUGUGUCUAUGAUCGAGCCUGUUUUUGUUAGCAUGGAUUUUAGGUAAAACUUAGAACUUAGAUCACAUACAUUAAUGAGGGGGCAGCAUGUAAGUCACCUGUCAAUUUUUUGAACUGUGGUAAUUCAGUUGGCUAGUUGCUUUGGUGAUUUUGGGUUUGUGAUGCUCAUUUCUUGAGAAAAUCUAUUUCUGUUCCAGUGAAGCAUGAGAAUGACAAUAGUUUUGCUUGCAAGUUGGUGAGCAAAAAUGAAUUGAAAUAAAAUAUCAGAGAAGGAGACCCAACAAUAAUUUUCUCUUUCUUCUGUUCUUUGGAUGAAUAUCCUUGACGAUAUUUGUGUAGUGGAGAGGGGUUGAAGCUAUCUAACCUAUUUCUUUUGGACUUUCUUCUUUUUUUUUUUCUUUCUUUCUUUCCUGUUUGUUGCCACUUGGCAAUAUUUGUGGCAAGGCUGCUGGAUUGGUUUUCGACAAAAAUGGCCAUCAACAGCCGAAGGAUUUCAUCUUGGGUUACAUUAUUUAGUUCUGAAUCAAUGUUGAGCAUGUGAGCUACUAAAUCAUUUUUUAUAUUUUUGUUUAUUUUUUAGGGUAAAACUUUGACAAGCACACUGAUACAGAUGCAUCAUCACAUUAGUUAUUUACUUUGGUCAGCAAAGCUGAAUUGCCUAGUUCUUGCACUGUAGAUUGUAGAUUUAAAAGGUCAACAAUCAACAAGUGAAGAGAAGUGUUUGCUUGCAAGAAACAUCACUUGACCAACUGAAAGCUACUCACACAGUCAAUUGAUUUAAGUCAGAAUAUUGUUUUAUUUUUCUGUGUAGAGAAACAUGUUUUUCUUUCCGUUAUUUAUGAUGACAAAUUGCUUUGAAUUCUGAUGAUCAUAAUAGCAGGUAUAUAUCUAUUUUCGCUUGUAUGUAACAUGCUAAAAACUUGAACUUCUGGUUAAGCAUGGAUAGCAGGCUAUUUGAGGCUGCACAAACAGGAAAUGUUGAACUAUUGCUUGAUGCAAUAAGAUCUGAUCCUCUUAUUCUCAGGAGAGCUGCAAUAUCAUGAACUGCUGGAGAUAGUGCAUUGCACAUUGCCUGCCUGGCCGGACAUGUCUAUUUCGUGCAUGAAUUUCUAAAACAUGGUAGGGAAUUCACUCGGGAACUGGAUCAGAAUGGCUUAAGUCCUAUACAUAUUGCUAUGGCCACUGGGAUAUAGAAAUUUUACAAGAGCUCCUGAAGGUGGAUAUCGGAUUAUGCUCAUCAGGGGUAGAGAACGAAGAAUCCCCCUCCACUAUGCAUUGAUGAAAGGUCAAGUUGAUGUUGUUAAAGAACUGAUUCUUGCUGGGGUGGGAUCCAUUAAGAUGGUAACAUCUCGAGGAGAAACUGCUCUACACCUCGCUGUCAAGAGUAACAAGUUUGAUGUUUUGAAAGUUUUGAUUGAACAUAUAGAGAGCUCCCAUAAUCUGGGGGAUGUUCGUAAUAAGAAGGAUGAGUAAGGCAACACCAUUUUGCAACUUGCAGCUGCAAAAAAGCAGCAUGAGGUCCUUGACCCUCUUGCUUAAGAGGAGCCCUGAAUCCAAUUCAGGGAUUGAAGUGAAUUCCUUGAAUGAAGUGGGCUGUACAGCCCUAGAUGUCCUACUUGUACCAAGUGAGGUUGGUGACAUUGAAAUCGAACAUCUGAUCAGGCAAGGUGGAGGAUUACGAGCCAUAGACUUGUCAAGACAGCCUUCAGGCAUGAAUAGCUACCCAAGAAGGACUCUCUUGAAACUGUUCAAGUAUGACGGUCAAAGAGAUACCCCAACCAAGGUGAGACAUGCUCCUUCUAAUAGCCACACUUAACCCUCCAAGCAUGCAGAAGGUUAAAAGAGACAUUGGGGUCACUGCCAGGGCCCCAAGGCCUGGCCUCCCUCGCCCAGCCAAGGUCCGUGGCAGUAGAAGU